GGGCAGAUACCCAAGUGGCCAACGGGGACAGACUGUAAAUCUGUUGCGCUUGCGCUUCGGGGGUUCGAAUCCUCCUCUGCCCACCA
rnacentral:tRNA from 1 species